rnacentral:rRNA from 2 species
GUGACCCCAGGUCAGG